CGCACCUUGCACUCCAUGGUAUUCCGUGGAGUAUGUCUGUCUGAGUGUCAUGAAACUCUCAACCCUCUUACCUUUGUUUACCUCGGGCAUUAGGGCUUGGAUCAUGAGUGCCUGCUGGACCUGUGCAUCAGCUCACUCUAAAUGUAUCAGUGGUCUGCAUUCCUUGUUCUGCAGCUGAUCUGGCGUAAUAGGUUUUAUUCGCUGGGCAUCUGCGGGAAUAGCAGGGUAAUGCUUUCCAUUUCCAAACCAUUCUUAAGUGUUUGGCCUCAGAUCAGGCAGGACUACCCGCUGAACUUAA
rnacentral:misc_RNA from 1 species